GAUGAACGCUGGCGGCGUGCCUAAUACAUGCAAGUCGAGCGAACAGACGAGGAGCUUGCUCCUCUUACGUUAGCGGCGGACGGGGGAGUAACACGUGGAUAACCUACCUAUAAGACUGGGAUAACUUCGGGAAACCGGAGCUAAUACCGGAUAAUAUAUUGAACCGCAUGGUUCAAUAGUGAAAGACGGUUUUGCUGUCACUUAUAGAUGGAUCCGCGCCGCAUUAGCUAGUUGGUAAGGUAACGGCUUACCAAGGCGACGAUGCGUAGCCGACCUGAGAGGGUGAUCCGCCACACUGGAACUGAGACACGGUCCAGACUCCUACGGGAGGCAGCAGUAGGGAAUCUUGCGCAAUGGGCGAAAGCCUGACGGAGCAACGCCGCGUGAGUGAUGAAGGUCUUCGGAUCGUAAAACUCUGUUAUUAGGGAAGAAAACAUGUGUAAGUAACUAUGCACGUCUUGACGGUACCUAAUCAGAAAGCAACGGCUAACUACGUG
rnacentral:rRNA from 1 species